rnacentral:lncRNA from 1 species
AAAACUUUAUCACACUUGGUGAUAUUGGUUAAAUGAUCACAUGGCGUUAUGGACCUUGGUUAGAACCAAAUCCUCAAAGAUAAGUCACCAUGAUGCCCCUCUUUACAUCUUUCUUCCGAUUCCUGAUCUUUUUUCUCCAUUCCAUAGGAUUAAAAGCCAAGCAAUACACUCUCUCCAGUAUUACUUUCAAUGGCCUUCUUUGUAUUUGUCCAUAAAAAUCACCUUACCCAAUUUUGUUAUUUUGUACUCAAUCGAUGUCAGACUUAUAUCUACUUGCAGUGUGAUAGGUUCAGGGGGAAGUAUAUGUUAGAAGGAAUAAGGGUAACAGACAGUUAUAACUGUCUGUGAGGUGGGUUGUUGUAAACAGACUAUUAUAUAUAGUCUGUACAGGGGUUGUUUUCAGUACUUUUUUUUGGAGAAAAUUGGAAGUGAAAGGAAGGGAGAGUCAGGUCCUCUCGAAAGACCUGGGAUUUGUGUGUGUACCAGUCAUUAGAUACAGACUAAGCUUUCUGGUUUUCAUAGGAAGAUCAUCCAAGAACCUGUUUUGGAGUUCUUUACAGUGUUAAUAAAAUCUGGGUACCUAUCACAGUGAAUUUUGCAUCACAUUCUUUUCUGUAGGCACACAUCUGCUAUUCUCACCUUUAUCUCCUUUUGUCCCUCUAAAGUUCAACAAUCACUAUCUUAGAGUAUUGUUAGACAUAUAAUAGCACAGAAAAUAUCCUUCAAGCUUGCUAUGUGAUCAUAAAUAGCCCCAAUUGGCUUUCUUCAUCUUGGCCAUUCAACUAAUAUCUUUUUGUGUAAAAUUCUUGUUAAUUUUCUCAUCAUUGUGUAAUGUUGGUGACAGAUAUUUGAACUUUGAAACAUGUGGAUGACGUAUUUUUCCCUUUAUUACCUCUAAGUCAGUUUUUUGCUAAAUUUGCUAUGUUGUCUACUUUUAGUUAAGCAAAAUCCCUUUGAUUCCAAAUUUAUUUUCCUCUCCCAAGCUUAAAUUCAAAUUUGACCACUCUCCUUGAUGAAAAUAUAGCUUUAAAUGUGUCUCUUUUUUAGAGUUCUUUAGCUUCAUAGGCAUUCAUUGGCUAACUACUUGGAAAUGGGGAGUUUUAUUUUCAUGUAAUUCAUUUGGUAAAUUGAUAGCAUUGGAGUUGUGUUAAUUUAUAGUAAGACUAGUUCUGUUGAGUUUUCUUCGAAGUUUAGCUUCCAUGUUUUUCCCCUUUAAUAGAGGAAUUCUUUCUUUAAAAUCUCAUUUGAAAGUCCAAACUUCCAUCUAUACCACGUCUUCUGUUUGAACAGAGACUCGGUGAUUUAUAAUUAUAGGUUAACUUUUAUAGACGUAAAGUUGUUUAGUCCUCUAAUAGUUGUGUGAUGUAUUCUAAUAAAGAAGUAUACAGUUUCUUUUGCAUGCUUAUUUGGAGUAGGAAUCUUCACCUUUCUGGGUCUUCCUUGGAUUAUGGCAAAUUGUUUUAGAAGUAAAAGGUUUUGAUGAGUACGAAGUUGUUGGAUUGUAGCAUUGUGAUACGAUGAUCUUUAUGCUCUCUGUUUGGAGGGAAAUGGUAAGAUUUUAAGGGGAAAUUCCAUCUCUUGUGGUGAAAAACAAAGCCGUUUCCACGACCUCUCUUACCUCUUAUUCUCUGCUAGCCAGUUUAGCAUUUUAUUUUUGUUUGAAAGAAUCUUGGUAUAUAUGCACAGGGAUAGUAAAUGUCUUGUGUGUAAUGGAAUGGGAAUGGAUUUUCCCUUUUAAGCUACUGAUUUUCGUGCUUUGUUUCAAGGAAUCAGUAAUGCAUUUCCUUAUCUGUAAGGAAUCAAUCAUGCAUUUCUGCUAACUGUUUUUGUGAUAAGGUAAUUAUUGUUUGAAGAAAUUUCAAAUUUUGAGAUUUUCAUACUGCUGCUCAUAGAAAAGUCAAUUACUGCGCUGUGUCUUGCCUUGCCAUGUUAAAAUUGGGGUCCACUUCCUUGAAGC